UACGGAGGGUGCAAGCGUUGUCCGGAAUCACUGGGCGUAAAGGGCGCGUAGGCGGCUCAUGAAGGCUGUGGUGAAAGUCCGGGGCUCAACCUCGGAUCGGCCGUGGCGACUCGUGGGCUGGAGCACUGUAGAGGCGGGUGGAAUUCCUGGUGUAGCAGUGAAAUGCGUAGAGAUCCGGAGGAACACCGACGGCGCAGGCAGCGUCCUGGCCGCUUGCUGACACUGAGGCACGAAAGCUGGGGGAGCAAACAGG
rnacentral:rRNA from 1 species